rnacentral:siRNA from 1 species
UUGGUUAUGAGGGUAAUCGCCU